GUGAGGAAUAUUGGUCAAUGGGCGCAAGCCUGAACCAGCCAUCCCGCGUGCAGGAAGACGGCCCUAUGGGUUGUAAACUGCUUUUCCGGGGGGAGAAUUUUUCCGUCGUGACGGGAAUUGACGGUACCCCGGGAAUAAGCAUCGGCUAACUCCGUGCCAGCAGCCGCGGUAAUACGGAGGAUGCGAGCGUUAUCCGGAUUUAUUGGGUUUAAAGGGUGCGUAGGCGGAAUGAUAAGUCAGUGGUGAAAACCUGCAGCUUAACUGUAGACUUGCCGUUGAUACUGUCAGUCUUGAGUGUGGUCAAGGUAGGCGGAAUGUGUAAUGUAGCGGUGAAAUGCUUAGAUAUUACACAGAACACCGAUUGCGAAGGCAGCUUACCGGGCCAUUACUGACGCUGAUGCACGAAAGCGUGGGGAUCGAACAGGAUUAGAUACCCGUGUAGUCC
rnacentral:rRNA from 1 species